AGCGAACGCUGGCGGCAGGCCUAACACAUGCAAGUCGAGCGCCGUAGCAAUACGGAGCGGCAGACGGGAGAGUAACACGUGGGAACGUGCCCUUUGGUUCGGAACAACCCAGGGAAACUUGGGCUAAUACCGGAUAAGCCCUUACGGGGAAAGAUUUAUCGCCGAAGGAUCGGCCCGCGUCUGAUUAGCUAGUUGGUGGGGUAAUGGCCCCUCAAGGCGACGAUCAGUAGCUGGUCUGAGAGGAUGAUCAGCCUCACUGGGACUGGGACACGGCCCAGACUCCUACGGGAGGCAGCAGUGGGGAAUAUUGGACAGUGGGCGCAAGCCUGAUCCAGCCAUGCCGCGUGGGUGAUGAAGGCCCUAGGGUUGUAAAGCCCUUUCGGCGGUGAAGAUAAUGACGGUACCCGCAGAAGAAGCCCCGGCUAACUUCGUGCCAGCCGCCGCAGUAAAAC
rnacentral:rRNA from 1 species